rnacentral:lncRNA from 10 species
AGCACCAAGAGCACCCUGGGCUAUAAGGGAACUAGAAUGCAGUUGUUAGCAGCAGCGAAUCUGCAUGGGUCUGCAGCAACCUCAAGUCUCCUCAGAAGAAAGAAUUUGACCAAGGGGCAUAAGGCAGAAGGAGAGACCCGGGCAAGCUUCAGAGCAAGAGUGGAAGUUUAUUAAAAAGCUUCAGAGCAGGAAUGAAAGAAAAGUACACUUGGAAGAGAGCCAAACAGGUAAAACCUCAUUAACGUAACUGCAACAAUGAAGACAUUACCUAGCUCUAUCUCGACUGAGGUACAAGGUUGUUAAAAUGUGGACAGAUUGGAGCGCUACAAAAAUGUGGCAUGGAAGAAAUGCCUGUCCAGAGUCUGACUGUGUCACCCAGGCUGGAGUGCAGUGGCGUGAUCUCGGCUUACUACAACCUCUGCCUCCUGGGUUCAAGCAAUUCUCCUGCCUCAGCCUCCAGAGUAGCUGGGAUUACAGCACCCCUCCCACAAGCUAGCAGGAGGGUGGAAGUGAGGAUGAAGGAUCCUUGUGGAAGCUGAGUCCAGCCCAGGAUGCCUCUGCCCACUUCUGCUCUGCUCUUAGCACAGGUGCCUGGCUCCCACCUGUUGAGUUACAGGCCACUGACUUCCAAGUCAGGCCAGGAGGUCAGUCAUCUUUUCCACCGAUCCUCUGCCCUGAGCUGAGUUAUCUCGCACAAGUGGUACCCACUGGACCCCGUAGCUCUGGCCCUGCUGGAACUCCCUCGCAGCUUAGCAGGGGUUUUAAAUCUGGCCCAUGAGGCCUUGUCAGUUUCAAGAGCCCCCCCUGACCUUUUAAUAAACAUUUCCUUUGUUAUCAGAAUUAUUUCCUAAUUCAUUCCCUUCUGUCCCUGAAAAUCUAAAUCCUAUUUAAGUUAAUGCCCUUCAUUUUCAUUUAUAAAGACAGAUACAAAAUAAUUAUUUCCUAUCUCCGUGGUUUCCUUAUCUCCCGUCCUAAUAAUGCCUUCAGCAGAUGAACAUUCCCUGUCAGUUGAAACAGUUGGAGUGUUUGUUUUUUUCACUCUUUAAAGAAGAAAAAUAAAAUGCUUUCUCAGGCUUUGUCUCUUCUCUUCUCCUCUCUCCUCUUUUCUCUUUCUGCCUUUCUCGGCUCUUUUCUUCUCACUAUCUGCUUUUCUCCCGGGCGCCCCCUCUCCCUCUUCUGACCCCCACAGUGACCCUUUCUCUCCCUCUCCUGCACCCUCUCCUGCUGUCCUGGCCCUUGCCCAGCCCAGUGUUGCUGGGCGCCUCUCAUUUUCCUGUCCGUAGUGCAAUUUCUCUGCGGCCUCACAUCUGAAUUUCAUCAGCCCAUGAGCCUGCCUUUGAGCUCAGGUCCCCCCAGCUAGUAAAACUGGUUUGGAUGAGCAGACGCAGUCUCGAAAAGAAACAUUCUUUGGUUUCCUCUCAUGACAACUAGUGAGCAGAGAAUUCACAGUUCCCUUCUCCGGGCGCCUCUUUGAAGUGUUUGAUUGAAAGGAGAGGGGAUGGAAAGGAAUGGGGUGAUGGGGGUUGGUAGUGGCGGGAACAAGGAUUCCAGCUUUAACUAGCAACUCUGAAACCAGCGACCCAGACUUCCGGCGACCCUCUCUGUUCCUUGCCCAUCUGGGUAGGGGAGAUGCUGACUGAUUUUUGGCUAUCUGCACCAGAUCCAGUCUUCCACCCUCCUCUCUUUUGUUUUCCAGUAAAACUCAACACACAAUUUAAAUCCAGGGUUUGGGAGAAAGUCAUUAAUAGAGUAGCUGAUUUUAAGGGAACUGGUUCUGUUCUCAGAAAGCAGUUGUUCAAAUCCUAACCAUUAGCACAUGCUGAAUGCCUUCUAUAUGCCAGCUAUGUAAAUGAUUUCAUUUACUUCUCAUGAGGACCCUGUGACCUAGCAGCUACUGUUUCCCCAUUGUAUGGAUGAGGAAACUGAGGCUCAGAAAGACUGGGAAACUUGCUCACAGCCCUCGACCAGCAGAGGUACAACCAGGCCUCGAAUCCAGGUUUUGCUUCAUAUCCCUCACUCUCUGACAUACAGGCCUUCAAGAGAAAGGAUUUCUGUCACUCCUCUGGCUUUAAAGUCUUUGUCAAGGCCAAGAAGGAACUAUGAAGAACUCUUCUGUGACGGUAUCUAACAGGUGGUCUCUGAGCUCUUUUAUCUUUGGUAGAGAAUGCAGAUUACUAGGCACAAAGAUUUAAAAAAACCCACGAGAGAAAAAUGUUUGAAAGCAUGGUGCUACAGAGAGGUCAAGGACUAAUGGAUGGGGAACGGAAUGUACCUACAUCAAGUCCCUUCAUUUUAUAGUCAGGGAAACUGAGGCCUAGCAAGAGCUGGGUCUCACUCCUGCCUUCACUUAGCUCAGCAGCUAAGACUUGCUGAACCCACAAAGAGCUUUCCUUCAUCAUCUGGAGGGAGAUACGGAAGCCACCUAGGGGUUACCCCAGAGAGGCCAGGAGACUUA